GACGAACGCUGGCGGCGUGCUUAACACAUGCAAGUCGAACGGAAAGGCCCUGCUUUUGUGGGGUGCUCGAGUGGCGAACGGGUGAGUAACACGUGAGUAACCUGCCCUUGACUUUGGGAUAACUUCAGGAAACUGGGGCUAAUACCGGAUAGGAGCUCCUGCUGCAUGGUGGGGGUUGGAAAGUUUCGGCGGUUGGGGAUGGACUCGCGGCUUAUCAGCUUGUUGGUGGGGUAGUGGCUUACCAAGGCUUUGACGGGUAGCCGGCCUGAGAGGGUGACCGGCCACAUUGGGACUGAGAUACGGCCCAGAGUCCUACGGGAGGCAGCAGGGGGGAAUAUUGCACAAUGGGCGGAAGCCUGAUGAAGCAACGCCGCGUGCGGGAUGACGGCCUUCGGGUUGUAAACCGCUUUCGCCUGUGACGAAGCGUGAGUGACGGUAAUGGGUAAAGAAGCACCGGCUAACUACGUG
rnacentral:rRNA from 1 species